CCUACGGGAGGCAGCAGUGAGGAAUAUUGGUCACUGGGAGAGAUCCUGAACCAGCCAAGCCGCGUGAGGGAAGACGGCCCUAUGGGUUGUAAACCUCUUUUGUCGGAGAACAAAACCCGGGACGUGUCCCGGCCUGCGUGUAUCCUACGAAAAAUCAUCGGCUAACUCCUUGCCCGCAGCCGCGGUAAUCCUGAGGAUGCGAGCGUUAUCCGGAUUUAUUGGGUUUAAAGGGUGCGUAGGCGGUCCGUUAAGUCAGCGGUAACAUUGCGGGGCUCAACCCCGUCGAGCCGUUGAAACUGGCAGACUUGAGUUGGCGAGAAGUACGCGGAAUGCGCGGUGUAGCGGUGAAAUGCAUAGAUAUCGCGCAGAACUCCGAUUGCGAAGGCAGCGUACCGGCGCCAGACUGACGCUGAGGCACGAAAGCGUGGGGAUCGAACAGGAUUAGAUACCCCAGUAGUC
rnacentral:rRNA from 1 species